rnacentral:rRNA from 1 species
GAUGAACGCUGGCGGCGUGCCUAAUACAUGCAAGUCGAGCGAACGGACGAGAAGCUUGCUUCUCUGAUGUUAGCGGCGGACGGGUGAGUAACACGUGGAUAACCUACCUAUAAGACUGGGAUAACUUCGGGAAACCGGAGCUAAUACCGGAUAAUAUUUUGAACCGCAUGGUUCAAAAGUGAAAGACGGUCUUGCUGUCACUUAUAGAUGGAUCCGCGCUGCAUUAGCUAGUUGGUAAGGUAACGGCUUACCAAGGCAACGAUGCAUAGCCGACCUGAGAGGGUGAUCGGCCAAACUGGAACUGCGACACGGUCCAGACUCCUACGGGAGGCAGCAUUAGGGAAUCUUCCGCAAUGGGCGAAAGCCUGACGGAGCAACGCCGCGUGAGUGAUGAAGGUCUUCGGAUCGUAAAACUCUGUUAUUAGGGAAGAACAUAUGUGUAAGUAACUGUGCACAUCUUGACGGUACCUAAUCAGAAAGCCACGGCUAACUACGUG